AAAACAUUUAUCUUACUUUAUUUAUUUAUUUAUUUUAUUUGAGAGAAAUAUCUUUUUAUUUAGUAUAUUAAGGAAAAAUUUUUUGUUGUUAUAGUUUAAUAGUACUGUGAAGGAAUGGAUGAAAUAUAUUAAAAAUUAAUUUACUUUAAGUAUACUUAAAUUGUAGUACCUUUUGUAUCAGGGUUAAUUAAAUAUCUUAAUUUAUUUUUAUUUCUCGAUUUCAAAAGAGCUAAUUUAUUAAUUUAGUUAAUGUUUCAUAAUUAUUAAAAAUAUAAAUUAGAGGAGAAAUUUUAUUCGGUUUUGAAGGUAUCUAGUUUUUUAAGAAUUAAAUUAAAUUUAGUCCUAUUAAUUAAUAAUUAUAUUAUUAUAAUUAUUAUUUAUUAGUAUAAAAAUUAUAGGGGAUAAGCUCUAUAUUUUUCUAUAAAAAUUUUCUUAAUUAAUUUCUGUAGGGUUAUAAUUAUCCAUCAUUAGUAAAUAUGUCAUAAUUUAUUUUGUUUAAUAUUUGAUUUUAUAUUUUUUGGAUUUUUAUUAAAAUAUUAAAAUUAAUUUUAUAUUUUAAUUAAUAAUGAUUAAAUUAGUAUAAUACUUUGUUUAUAAUUUAUUAUAAAUUAUGAUAAAAUAAGGAACUCGGCAAAUAUAGUUCUCGCCUGUUUAACAAAAACAUGUCCUUUUGAAUUUAAUUGAAGGUCUGACCUGCCCAGUGAUUAGUUUAACGGCCGCGGUAUACUGACCGUGCAAAGGUAGCAUAAUCAUUAGUCUUUUAAUAGAGGGCUGGAAUGAAAGGUUUAACGAGGAACUGGCUGUCUCAUUUUAUUUGUUUUAAAAUUUAAUUUUUUAGUCAAAAAGCUAAAAUUACAUUGAUAGACGAGAAGACCCUAUAGAUCUUUAUAUAUUUUAAAUUAGAGAUUUAUAUAUUAAUAUUUUUAAUUGAAAAUGUAUUUUGUUGGGGUGACAAAAAUAUAUAAUUAACUUUUUUAUUUAUUUAACAUUGAUUUAUGAUUAUUAGAUCCAUUCUUAUUGAUUAAUAGACUAAGUUACCUUAGGGAUAACAGCGUAAUCCUCUUCCAGAGUUCAUAUUUACGAGAGGGCUUGCGACCUCGAUGUUGGAUUAAGAUAAUAAUUAGGUGUAGCCGCUUAAUAUAUAGGUCUGUUCGACCUUUAAACUCUUACA
rnacentral:rRNA from 1 species